AUUCUACAAGGGAAAACAGUCUUGAUGAUUACGGAAUUCUUUUAACAGUGAUAGUUCCUACUGAUACCAGUACUCAUAUUGCUGUAAUGCCAACCUGAGUACUCAAAACAGGCAAGACACAAUCUAAUUUUUGUCUUCCUGGGAAAUAAAGCAUUAGCUGUUGCAUUCUGAAUGGAGUGACUUCAUACUGAUUGCUACCAGUUGUACUGUGAAGUACUUCAGGAAACAACACUUCUGGGGAAUAGCGAACAGAAACUUUAUAGAAAUAUGACAAGUUCCUCUGUUUUUCAGUACUUGGAAUUAGGUUGAUUGUAGUUAAAUGGGUCAGUAUUGCAAAAUUUCAAUUCUGAAGAUGAAUGCACUUCAUGUCUUGCAGUGACAAAUGGAAAAAUGGACAUUAUUUGAGUUUAAGUUGCUAUAAACUGUUCAGGUGAAUAUUGAGAUCGAAAUAAAUAUAUCCUCAAAAACAACACACCUUUUAUCAUUUAAUUUGCUGUACUAUACUUAAAUUAUAUUAUUUCCUUUUUAUAUUAUAUCAGAAUUUUGUUCCUUAUGUUGUAUCAAUUUCUACACAUCUUUCCAUAAGAAAUGAAAUAAUUUCAUAAAAUGAAAGUACACAUUUCUAGACAUAACAAUUUUUCUAUUCUCUAUUAUUGAGUCAAGUGAAAUAUCUAACAUUAGAAGGAAAAAAAAGGAAAAUUCUUGACCUGGUCUAGUAAUGAUGUAAUAUCAGUGUCUUACUAGAAACUUUUCUGUAACUCAGAAUCUAAUAUUCCUGAUGAUGGCAAUUAUAACAUUUCACUUAGUCUUUUAGAUUUUCAUCCACAACAGAAUUAUUAUUCUGUUUGAAGUUAAUCAUGUGAAAAUGAAUAUUCACAACGUAGAGUAGAAUGGGCUCAAAAUCACAUUAGGACAGAUGAACAUUUUUUUGGCUUGCACUAUGUGUGACUUCUUGAUUAUGUCAUGUAGAAGUAUAAAAUCAGAUAUAAAACUAUACACCAUCUAAAAUUUCUACUGUGCAAGAGAUGCCUAGAAGCUGCUAGUCAAAAUCCUAGUUCUGGAUUUUUACAGCUCACUGCAGCUCACUGCUUGAAAUAGUGUAUGAGUGGUACUGUGUGAAGCUUGGAGAUUCAGUUUAUAAUUAUAUAUAAAAAUCUGAGUCAGUUUUGUAUGUAUAAUACAAUAAAAUCAUUUUGAGUAUGACUAAUGUUCUGUAUGAGAAGUUUUCUAAAAAUGUUAUUGAACUCAGGUGCUGCAAUAUCAGUUAUAUUUAAACC
ensembl:lncRNA